CAGGAGGUGAGUGAACAGAAGUUUCAAAAUCAAUGGAAGCACACAUCGAGCACAGGAUUCCUGAGAUACAUGACUCUCCUUGGUUGUCUUUUGAACUGAUCAGAUGAGAAGCCCACAGAGAGUCUUGAGGUGGAAUUUCCUUAUGUCUGGAACAAACAGAGCCACGUGUGGCGCCACACAUCUUUAGUCCCAGCACUCAG